GCUGGGUGCAGUGGCCUGUGCCUACCAUCCUAGCUGCACUGGGGGCUGAGGCAGGAGCAUCACUUGAACUCAGGAGUUUGAAGCCAGACUGGGUCACAUGGUGAGACCCCAUCUCAA
rnacentral:sRNA from 1 species